rnacentral:rRNA from 1 species
CCUACGGGAGGCAGCAGUGGGGAAUAUUGCACAAUGGGGGAAACCCUGAUGCAGCGACGCCGCGUGAGUGAAGAAGUAUCUCGGUACGUAAAGCUCUAUCAGCAGGAAAGAAAAUGACGGUACCUGACUAAGAAGCCCCGGCUAAAUACGUGCCAGCAGCCGCGGUAAUACGUAGGGGGCAAGCGUUAUCCGGAUUUACUGGGGGUAAAGGGAGCGUAGACGGCGCUGCAAGUCCGGAGUGAAAGCCCAUGGCUGAACCAUGGUACUGCUCUGGAAACUGUAGAGCUUGAGUGCGGGAGGGGCAGGCGGAAGUCCUGGUGUAGCGGUGAAAUGCGUAGAUAUUAGGAGGAACACCGGCGGCGAAGGCGACCUGCUGGACCGUAACUGACGUUGAGGCUCGAAAGCGUGGGGAGCAAACAGGAUUAGAUACCCGGGUAGUC